AUGGAAGUGUUGACGGACGGCAGCUUGGAGCUGGUGAUUCAGGUGGUGUGCAACCCCCGAGGGGGUGGUAAAAGGCUGUUGGCAAAGACCCUAGACUGCGAAAUUGUUCAAAAGAAGCAGAGGUUCAUGUACAUUGUCAACAAUCGGAAUAAUGAGCUCUGUUUUGCCAUCAACCUGGCGCAUCUGCUCUAUCCAGGAAUCACAGACGCCGAGGCUGAAAGGAGGGGGAGCGAUCUUCAGCAACGGGCAGGUUUAACAGCGCAGACGCUGGAGUGUUUCACGAACAUGGAGAAGUUUGAAGAGCUUGUUCAGUGUCGGAUUGUAAUCUUUUACAGAACAGAUUUGAAGCGCCUCAACACGUUUCACACUGCAAAGCAGCGGUCUGGUAACCCUUUAUACAUGUUUCUUUUCAAGAAUCAUUAUUACGGUCUAAAGAACGCCUGUGCUUUCAUAGGAAAAAAAUACUUGUGCAGUCAUUGCAACACCGGUUAUGAUGGGUUGCUGAAUCAUAAAUGCGAGGGGCGUUUUAACGUGUGUCUUGAUGCCGCCUGCGCGGCCACGCGUACAGCAGCUGGUGGGGGCGUAGUGUGUGAAUAUUGCAACUGUUGGUGUGCUUCGGCCUUUUGUCUUGCAAAACACAGGGAGAAGGUGUGGCGCCCUGUGGCUCAGAAGCACGCGAGCAUUUGUGACAUGCACAAGAAAUGUCACCGCUGCGGGCUCUUGUAUUACGUCUUACUGAUUAAAAUAUCAAAGCCGCACGAAUGCCCGGACGUUAAAUGCUGCAUCUGUGGCGGGGUCAAAUAUGCAUGGGCGACCGAGCGAUUGUUUUAUGACUUUGAGACGUAUCCUGUUGAGAAUGGCACGCACGUGCCCUUUUACGUCUGCGUGAUGAGGAGCAAUAAUAGCUGCCCGUGUUACGGGCCCGACUGCGCCGUAAAGCUUCUCAGGCGCUACAGGGCUAAAAAGUACAAAGAUUCAGUAUUUUUGGCUCACAAUUCGAAAGGUUUUGACGGGCAUAUUCUUUUGAGCGCCAUGGUGUCGCUGGGGAUUAGCCCUCACGUUGUAAUGCAGGGGUCUAAACUGGUAUUGUUCACAAAGCCUCAUUAUAAUCUCAAAUUUAUAGAUUCCAUGAGCUUUCUACCUUUCCCUCUGGCCUCCCUGCCAAAAGCUCUGGGCUUUGAGGAUGCUGAAAAGGGUCACUUCCCUCACAAGUUCAGCUCUAAGGAGAAUCUGAUUUAUGUCGGCCCAUACCCAGCUCCUGAAUAUUAUGGUUGUCAGCAAAUGACUCCAAAGAAACGCGAAAACGGAAUUCAUGGCGUGGUACACCCUAGUUUCCGGCGGGACGUUUAA
rnacentral:lncRNA from 1 species